CGAUCCGUAACUGGUCUGAGAGGAUGAUCAGUCACACUGGAACUGAGACACGGUCCAGACUCCUACGGGAGGCAGCAGUGGGGAAUAUUGGACAAUGGGCGAAAGCCUGAUCCCAGCCAUGCCGCGUGUGUGAAGAAGGUCUUCGGAUUGUAAAGCACUUUAAGUUGGGAGGAAGGGGUUGUAGAUUAAUACUCUGCAAUUUUGACGUUACCGACAGAAUAAGCACCGGGCUAACUCUGUGCCCAGCAGCCGCGGGUAAAUA
rnacentral:rRNA from 1 species